AUUGAACGCUGGCGGCAUGCCUUACACAUGCAAGUCGAACGGUAACGGGCCUUCGGGUGCCGACGAGUGGCGAACGGGUGAGUAAUGUAUCGGAACGUACCUUUCAGUGGGGGAUAACGUAGCGAAAGUUACGCUAAUACCGCAUAUUCUGUGAGCAGGAAAGCAGGGGAUCGCAAGACCUUGCGCUGAUUGAGCGGCCGAUAUCAGAUUAGCUAGUUGGUGAGGUAAAGGCUCACCAAGGCGACGAUCUGUAGCGGGUCUGAGAGGAUGAUCCGCCACUCUGGAACUGAGAAACGGUCCAGACUCCUACGGGAGGCAGCAGUGGGGAAUUUUGGACAAUGGGGGCAACCCUGAUCCAGCCAUGCCGCGUGAGUGAAGAAGGCCUUCGGGUUGUAAAGCUCUUUCGGCCGGGAAGAAAUCGUAUCAGCUAAUACCUGGUGCGGAUGACGGUACCGGCAUAAGAAGCACCGGCUAACUACGUGCCAGCAGCCGCAGUAAAAC
rnacentral:rRNA from 1 species